CCUACGGGAGGCAGCAGUGGGGAAUAUUGCACAAUGGGGGAAACCCUGAUGCAGCAACGCCGCGUGAAGGAAGACGGUUUUCGGAUUGUAAACUUCUGUUUUUAGUGAAGAAUAAUGACGGUAGCUUAGGUGCAAGCCACUGCUAACUACGUGCCAGCAGCCGCGGUAAUACGUAGGUGGCAAGCGUUGUCCGGAAUUACUGGGUGUAAAGGGAGCGCAGGCGGGAAGCCAAGUCAGCUGUGAAAACUACGGGCUUAACUUGUAGAUUGCAGUUGAAACUGGUAUUCUUGAGUGAAGUAGAGGUUGGCGGAAUUCGGGGGGUAGCGGUGAAAUGCGUAGAUAUUCGGAGGAACACCGAUGGCGAAGGCAGCCAACUAAGCUUUAACUGACGCUGAGGCUCGAAAGUGUGGGGAGCAAACAGGAUUAGAUACCCUUGUAGUC
rnacentral:rRNA from 1 species